AAAAAAGUGAAAUACAGUCUUAAUCCUCUUGACUGAAUUUUGCUCGUAUAUCUCGAGUUCUUUUCUCUGCAGAUCACCCACCACAUACAAGGAGGAAUUGUAUGCUACAUCUUGUUUCAACUCUUGCCUACACCAACAACUCCUAAAAUCCUAUUUAUUCCCACGCAUGAAGCCUUUGAUUCUGGCAAAGUUGAGAAAUAACUAACAUAGGUGGUCAGUAAAAGGUCAGUGCAAAACAAAGGGUGUUUAAUGGUUUCCGUUUGAAAACCAUAUAAAUCGCAUCUGUGAUGUAUACCAUGAUGUAUCUCACAUGAUGCGUACCCAUCCAUUUCUAACUCUUUCUAUCUUGUUCUUUUCAAUUUCCCUUUUCCUAUAUCUCUUUUUGUUGCCUCUCAUGCUAGUCUCCAUCAAAAAACAUGUUUCAAGUAGUAAAUAGAUCACACAAAACUAUCCAAUUUGUAUCCAUCCAUGUUUUAACUAUUGCUAUCUUUGUUCUUCUAUUCUCUUUUCCCACUACCACUACCUCUACCUCUCUCUGUUGCAUCUCUUGUUGGUCUGCAUUUAAGGAAUCACUUUUAUAAAAGGUUGUCUUUUCUUCAAAAGGAUGUUGAAACAUGUGACUGAAUGUUAUACAUGAUAUAUCUCAAUUCUCACAUGAUAUACACUCAUCUAGUAACUUUUGUUAUCUUUGUUUUUCUCUAUUUUGCUUUUACCAAGGAUACACUACCUCUAUCUCCGGCAUCUCCUGCUAGUUUCCUUUAAAAAGCAUGUUUUCCGCUGUACAUAGGAUGUAUCGCACAUAAAUAUGUACUCAUCCAUUUUCUACCUCAAUUUCUAUUUGCUCCUCUUUAUAUUCGGUUGCACACUUAAUUGUCAAUCUUAAAUGUAGGUGCUUUGUCCAGAUACAAGCAGAGAAUAUAUUCUCCCAAGAGGUGUUAUUGAAGUGUGCAUAAGAAGCUGGGUAAUGACUCUAAUCCUCCUAAACACGAAUCCUCGGAUUCUCAAAUCUGCUUGUCGAAUUCUCGGGUUCCCUCACUAG
rnacentral:lncRNA from 1 species